GUUUCCGUGGUGUAGUUGGUUAUCACGUCAGUCUAACACACUGGAGGUCUCCAGUUCGUACCUGGACGGAAACA
rnacentral:tRNA from 1 species